CCUACGGGGGGCAGCAGUGGGGAAUAUUGGACAAUGGGGGGAACCCUGAUCCAGCCAUGCCGCGUGUGUGAAGAAGGCCCUCGGGUUGUAAAGCACUUUCAGUGAGGAAGAACGCCUGGUGGUUAAUACCCAUCAGGAAAGACAUCACUCACAGAAGAAGCACCGGCUAACUCCGUGCCAGCAGCCGCGGUAAUACGGAGGGUGCGAGCGUUAAUCGGAAUUACUGGGCGUAAAGCGCGCGUAGGUGGCUUGAUAAGCCGGUUGUGAAAGCCCCGGGCUCAACCUGGGAACGGCAUCCGGAACUGUCAAGCUAGAGUGCAGGAGAGGAAGGUAGAAUUCCCGGUGUAGCGGUGAAAUGCGUAGAGAUCGGGAGGAAUACCAGUGGCGAAGGCGGCAUUCUGGACUGACACUGACACUGAGGUGCGAAAGCGUGGGUAGCAAACAGGAUUAGAUACCCCGGUAGUC
rnacentral:rRNA from 1 species